GACGAACGCUGGCGGCGUGCUUAACACAUGCAAGUCGAACGGAAAGGCCCUGCUUUUGUGGGUUGCUCGAGUGGCGAACGGGUGAGUAACACGUGAGUAACCUGCCCUUGACUUUGGGAUAACUUCAGGAAACUGGGGCUAAUACCGGAUAGGAGCUCCUGCUGCAUGGUGGGGGUUGGAAAGUUUCGGCGGUUGGGGAUGGACUCGCGGCUUAUCAGCUUGUUGGUGGGGUAGUGGCUUACCAAGGCUUUGACGGGUAGCCGGCCUGAGAGGGUGACCGGCGUCAUUGGGACUGAGGUAGGGAGCAGACUCGUACGGGAGGCAGCAGUGGAGAAUAUUGCACAGUGGGCGGGAGCCUGAUACAACAACGCCGCGUGCGGGAUGACCGCCUUCGGGUUGUAAACCGAUUUCGCCUGUGACGAAGCGUGAGUGACGGUAAUGGGUAAAAAAGCACCGGCUAACUACGUG
rnacentral:rRNA from 1 species